GUGUACUUUCUCUUCCUUUCCCUUUCCCUUUCUCUUCUCCGCCUUUCAACAUGUUUGAUUUGUUGAGAUGUUGACGUCUCCUGUUGGUGAUCGGUAAGAUUUGGACUUGCAUGGGGAGAGACAUUUUGCUGCAUGGAACCUAUAAUGGCUUCCAUGUUGGAUUUCCAGUUAGAUAAUCUGUUCUACAUAUUCUCAUUAUAUUCGUCAAUGUAUGAUCUCACGGAACAUAAACUGGAAUACACAUAACACCUCAUUUGCACUUGUUGCUAUUGGAAUAAUUCUUCUUGUCUUUGCAAAACUGUCUGAUAAUGGGCUACUUGUGUUUACUAUUCCUGGAACAUAUGACUCUGAAACAAACCAGAUAGAGAAUUAUCUAUGUACGAAUGUGAAUCAUGUUGCAUGUAAUCUUGCAACGAUUUGGUUUGUUG
rnacentral:lncRNA from 1 species